AUUUAUUUUGAAACACAACUAAUUACAUCGAGUGAUCAACAUGUGAUUAUAAGCAAAUCUCCUCUUCACUUUUUGUUCUUCAUUUUUCCAACGUACUUUAUCGUAAAAUAUACUUGGACGAUAAUUUUGAAAUUUCAAAUUCGAUUGAAUCAUAAACAAAAUAUUACAAAAUUUCGAAAUGAUAUAUUCAUGCGUAGAUAAAUAAUAAUCAGAUAGAUUAUUCCGCAUAUAGAUAACGACUACUGUAUUACUUUCUUUUCUUUAAUUUUCCCAACAUUGCUGGUCAACCCUCGAGACAUGACGCCAUUUUUAAAAUCUCGAAACUUUAACCCCUUUGUUUACUUUUUUUUCUUCUCUUUCGCUAAUAAGAAAUCACAGUUUAUUCAUAGCCUGUGCUAUGUUUCCCUCGAAAUUUUCUCAACUACUUUAUAAUUACAUAUAGUUUAAAAAUUUUAACUAUACGACAAUUCUAAUGAAAAUCGAAACUUGUUAAGAAAUCGAAAUUAAUUAAAAUCUAUUGUUUGUUUAAAUCUUGGAUUAAAGAGUAUUCUGUUCCAUAAUAAUUUAUUAUACUAUAAUUAUUAAUUCUUCCAUUCUAUUUACUUCUAUAAUUGUAUUACUUAAUUAAAUUAACGUGCAAUGUGUUGUCUAUUAUUUAUAUAAAAUACGGAAGUUAACAACUACAAUUUGAUAAAUUAAUGUUUUGAAACGAUUUCAAGCAAUUAUUAUGGUAUUAUUUCAAAUAGACUUAAUUGUGUUCAAGCUUAUCUGUUUAAGAUAAUUAUAUAUAAAAUAUCUCUAACGCUACAAUUUAUAUUUAAAUUAUUAUCUCUAAAUAUUUUGUUUGCAUUUCUCAUUACUUAUAAUUGCUUUUACGACUCUGCUAUUAUUUUGAUUUUUUCUCUGUCUGUCAUAGGUAUACAGAAUAUACAAUGAAAAAUUAAAAAAUAUAUGAAAAAAACAUUGUAGUAAUGUUUCUUUGUUAUUGAAACGUUACAUGGAAUUCGAUUUGGAUAUCUUAGGAUUAAAAACACGAAUGAAACACAAGGUUCACUGUUUUUACAUUAUAACUAGAAUCAUGUUUAAUGGAUUGUGACGAACAGUAAGAGAUUAUUUUGGAGGUCAAUCGUUCGUGUAUAUCUUUGAUACAUUAUGCAACGUUUCAGAUUGAUGCUUAUUGCCACGUGCUUACUCUCUGGCCGGUCAUUUCGUAUCAUUAUUUACGAGAAUUUUACAAUCAUUUCAUUUUACAAGAAAUACAUCAACCGGUGCGUCGUAUAAUAUCUAACAAUUUCAACAUUUUUUAAACAAAUAUUCUUAUUAUAUAUGCCUCGUAUUGAUUACUUAAAAUUAAACGCAUAAAGUAGGUUCAACUUUCGUAAUUAAUGUCGAGGAACGUCAGCCUAUUGAUAAAGUGCAAAGUUAACGAUGCAAGUACAUGUAGUUUGUCGACAUGUAGCCACAUCUUUGUUCCUAUAAAUAAAUGACGAGAGCCGCGUAGUCUCGGUUUAUCACUUCAGUGCAUACUCUUAUGCAAGCUUUACCGCGUGGAAAAAUCAAUAAUCACCUGCGACGUCUCUACCUAAGAUGUUACGUCAGAACUUUUGGUAAUUUUAUUUUCGAUUGUUGCACUAUAAAUUAACCGUAAUCAGAGAUCAAAAGUAACAUUUAUUUUUACAAUUUUUAUAGGGGGGGGGGGGGGGGGGAGAGAUUGACAUACUGGUAACUUUUGUUGUAAUAGAAGACAGUGAACACUAAGUACCAAAGAAAUUUUUCAAAAUAUUAAAUGAUUAAACAAUAUUAAUUUUCAAGUAUUCUACUUACGAAUACUUGAACCCCUUAUAUAUGAUUCCAGUAUUUUUGGUUACCGAUUACCAUUAUCUACGUGAGAUAUUUUUUGUUGCCGACAGCCAUUAUGGCAGAAUCAUUUUUUGGCUGUCGAUAACUAUUAUUCGUGACGGAGUUAUUUUUAGUCACCAAUGACCAUUUUUCAUGACUGAGGGUUUUUGGUUACUCCUAACCAUUAUAGUUUUGGUUACUGAUACCUAUUAUGUAAAAAAGCAUUUUUUUAUCGCUGAUAACAAUUAUCAACGACAUAAUUUUUUGCUACCGAUAAUCAUCAUAAAUUAGAGAAUUUCUUUGGUGACUAAUAACCGUUAUUUUAGGCGAAUUUCUUUUUGACUGCUGAUAACCAUUAUCAAAGACGGAACUUUUUUUAGGUACCGAUAAUCAUUAUCGAUGACGGGAUUUUUUCGUUACCCCAUUACCAAUUGUCGAUAACCCGAUUUUGUUUUAGCAUCCAUUAUCAAUGGCGAAAAAUCGUUUUGGUUGAUAAGCAAAAAGAUUUUUAUUAUUUAUCAUGAUUAUUCGUAAUCAAAUUGUUUUAAUUGAAUAAGUCUUAUAGCAUAACUUUUUAAACUUGUGUUUUUCCCCUUUUACCCGCACUUUCAAACGAUAACAAUUCUCCAUAUUUGCGCAUUGUUGCUUGUUCAGUCGAUACGACUUCUUGUUUUUAAAUUAUUCAAUGGCCGUUAGUAAAUAUAGAAUAUUUUUGUAAUAAGAAUGUAAAACGUCCAAGUAUAUUUUAUAACACUUCCAGGGCCUUCAUAAAGCUUGCCGCUAUCGUGUUUAAAACAUAGUAUCGAGUUUCAUGUCCGAAAUAAAUGCCAGCAAUUUAUGUCACAGUUUUACUUAAAAUUCAACAGUCUAAAAAACUCAGACAGUGCAUACUUUUUGUUGCUCUCAAGCUUAAGUUUAUAGAAAAUUAUUAACACUGGGAAAUAUUGAAAUGUUUCAAACGAUACAGGUAAAGAAAAGCUGCUCGAUUCCUUAUCAACAGAGUAUAUAUUAUGCAAAGUUCUCGAUUACAUAAUGCAAUUUUUUACGAUAAUGUUUCGAAAGACGUUCGCUUGCUACGAUUUAGAGAAUUGUUUGAAGUUAGUAACCCCUCCCACCAAACCACACCAAACAUCCCAAAGGAGAUAAGAGAGAAGCUUAUACCAGAGACAAACACAGAAUCUGGAAAUUCGAUCCGAUGUACGAGAGAAUCGAAGUAGCUGCAGACACGCAAACGUGAAGAUUAUAUCCAGUUACAGUUACCAACACGUAUAAAUAAUAUAGAGCAGCUUGGACUAAUUGGAUAGGAAGAAAUUAGCUUAACCGGUAAAUGUCGGUAAAUACAACAUGUUUCAUAGGAUUAGAGAAACAGCGAAAUGUACGAUAUGCGGUAAUUGCGAGCUCGAAAGCAGAGAGUACAUGUUAUACAAAUUUCCACAGCGCUGAACGUGCAGAUUGCACAUUAUAACGGAAUAUGCCGGAGUACUAUUAAUAACCAAAGAAGAACAAGUGAAAUCAAUAUACGUAUUGCUUUACACAAAUAAUGCUAAAACUAAAAGUCUUCUGCUUAAGUAAACUUAAAUGAGAAUUUAAAAUGAGAAAAAUCUCUGAGGACACCUAGAUAAGACUGCGAUAGACGGAAGCUCGUAGAAGGCUAUUAUUGUGUUAUUAAUGACUCAUCAAACACGAAACGAGGAUAUCUAAGAUUUAAUUUUUGAUAAAAUCCUAUUGAUGAAAAGUCAAAUUGCAAUGUUUCUUAUUACAUUCUUACGUAACAGUAUUUACAUUUGUAUUCUUUUCAGCGGAGGACAGAUCAAACGGAUUAUUAUUCUAUUGACUUUCAACAAUGCUUAUUUAUAAUUUAUAAACAGCAACACAUCGUGUAGAUAUGUCUCACGUGUUCUCAUUGUCACUCGUCCUCGCUCUCGGAAAACUUCUGUAUGACUUUGAACUUUGGACAUCGAAUUACGAGGAGAACGAGUGUUAUUAAAAAGAAUUAUUCCUAUUCUCUACAUUUUCUAAUUUUCUAAUUAUUAUUGUUACUCUCUGCAUUUUCCUAAUUGUUUAAAUAAUUUUCAACAUUGUCACAGACUUCAAAAUUGUAAGUGUACUCUUAAACUAGUUUUUCAUGACUCUAUAUGAAAUAACUUGCUGUCAUAAAAUUGUCCUAGUGUUUGAAAAGAGUGAACAUUUGCAGAAGUUUUAUGUUUUGAUCCAGGAAAUUCAGAGGAAAGACAAGAUGAGAACGCUACAGAAAGAAUUGCUCUAAAAUACUAUAUGCAUCACUGGUGUUGCAUUUACAAAAAAUGUUGUCUAGCGCCAAUAUCUGUUUAUUGAAUUAUCUUAAAAUAAACUUUCAAAACUUGACAUGAAAAGUGUAAAAAAAAUGCACAAUGGGGCGCAUAAAUUGCUAUUAAUUGUUGUUAACCAAAUAAUAGGUCUUCCAUCUCACACAAAUACUAAUGCUUCCUCCUCCUCCAGUGAAAAUACACUUUGGGAAGGUUCUAAACUAGUCCUCAACAACUAUCGAGGACUUUCUCGACAGAGACCCACCUUCCUGUCCAAUGCAGUUUUCAGGACAUUAAAAGCUGCAACUGCUUUACGAUAGCCCAUUGCUUCCGUGCAGUUACUUCAACAACCAUCUGCGCUCAUUCUCCGGUCCAACAUUGUCGCUCUGUCCUCCAUCCGUACGUCCAUUUUAUCUAAAAGUUAGCGUCCACCGAAAUGUCCCAUCUUUCCCCAAAUGUUACAUCUAAUUAAUGAGACUAAUUGAGCGACAGUGUGUUCAUCUGCUUGAGAAUAGUCAAAAGAUGACGAUCGUUGAGGUUAGGUUGGAGUUAGGUUGAGGUUAGGUUGUCUCCAUGGCGAGCGGUAGUGGAAUGGCGCCCAGAAGUGGAACUGCAGUCACAGCCUGGUCAAUAUAACUCGACUCAUAACUUUUUUGUCGGACAUUACUCUGCUAUCCUCGCAGCAACAGAGUGUCCAUGAGGAUUUCUCUACGUUAAAAAAAAAAAAAAAAAGAAGAA